rnacentral:rRNA from 1 species
CAUGCAAGUCGAACGAUGAAGCCCUUCGGGGUGGAUUAGUGGCGAACGGGUGAGUAACACGUGGGCAAUCUGCCCUUCACUCUGGGACAAGCCCUGGAAACGGGGUCUAAUACCGGAUACGAGGUUCGCAGGCAUCUGUGAACCUGGAAAGCUCCGGCGGUGAAGGAUGAGCCCGCGGCCUAUCAGCUUGUUGGUGAGGUAAUGGCUCACCAAGGCGACGACGGGUAGCCGGCCUGAGAGGGCGACCGGCCACACUGGGACUGAGACACGGCCCAGACUCCUACGGGAGGCAGCAGUGGGGAAUAUUGCACAAUGGGCGAAAGCCUGAUGCAGCGACGCCGCGUGAGGGAUGACGGCCUUCGGGUUGUAAACCUCUUUCAGCAGGGAAGAAGCGCAAGUGACGGUACCUGCAGAAGAAGCGCCGGCUAACUACGUGCCAGC